UGCGAGGCAGGAAAUGGUCUCGAUCUAGGGUAACUAUUGCUUCUUCUAGGCGGAACAUCAGCUCGAAACACCUCAUUGUAGGAAGAGAUUGGCGCGCAAAGACAAACUCGAGUAAACGAAGUGGCGACCCUAAGAGAGGGAUGAUUCCUAUGGAUUUAGUGUGUAUGUGAGAGAGAGAAGGUUUUUUAAAAUUCAAAGAUUUUGGAGUUCAAACCCUGUUCACAUUGGAAGAAUAUGGCCAUGGGAGAGAGGAAAUUUCCGGUAAAGCAGUGAAAUGCGCAGAGAUUCGAAAUUUGAGAAGGGGAAAGAAACUCUCCUCCCGCAAUGGAUAGAAGAUAAUUUAUUCAAAUCACAUAUAAAAUAUGUUAAUUUUUGUAUCUCACACAUACGUGUGAUCUUUAAAAAAUAUGAAAUCUUUAAAACCAUAAACAGUUUAAUGUUUCAAGUUAAUCUAUAAUUAGAAUUUAAAUCCCUCUUUUAGUAAAUGCAUUCACAAACAACUAUAAUUAUAUUAAAAAAAAAGAAUAUAAUGAAAUGGGGAUUGAGAUGAAUUUGUUUGACAAAAACUUUUUCAGGUCAAAAGCUUUAGGGUUCCCAAGUCAUCUUUUGUACAUUGUAGACCAUAAACAUUAUUUUGCCAGACUUGGAUUGGAAAUAAGAAAGAGAUUUACAUAUAUAUGACUUUAUAACUUUGCUGAAAUUAAGGUCUUAGUAUGAAAAUAUGUGCAGUUAUUACUUUAUUUCACAAAUUUGACCUACUAUUUA